rnacentral:rRNA from 1 species
AGCGAACGCUGGCGGCAGGCCUAACACAUGCAAGUCGAACGAACUCUUCGGAGUUAGUGGCGGACGGGUGAGUAACACGUGGGAACGUGCCUUUUGGUUCGGAAUAACUCAGGGAAACUUGUGCUAAUACCGAAUGUGCCCUUCGGGGGAAAGAUUUAUCGCCAUUAGAGCGGCCCGCGUCUGAUUAGCUAGUUGGUGGGGUAACGGCUCACCAAGGCGACGAUCAGUAGCUGGUCUGAGAGGAUGACCAGCCACACUGGGACUGAGACACGGCCCAGACUCCUACGGGAGGCAGCAGUGGGGAAUCUUGCGCAAUGGGCGAAAGCCUGACGCAGCCAUGCCGCGUGAAUGAUGAAGGUCUUAGGAUUGUAAAAUUCUUUCACCGGGGACGAUAAUGACGGUACCCGGAGAAGAAGCCCCGGCUAACUUCGU